rnacentral:lncRNA from 1 species
GUGAACAAUUCAUUAGGUCUGGCUCUGACCCGUGGGGCUGAGUCAUCAUCAGUCAGACCGCCUGAACCUGUUCCUCUCUGGGAAGCCCAUACAAACCUAAUCCCUAAACUGACAACACUGAGGGCAAGACUCUGAACUUUGGUAACCCUGCGACAGGGCUGCUAGUCCCUGCUCCUGCUCAGAGCUGCAGACUGCCUCUCCCCGGGGCAGGAGGAGGCAGCCAAGGACUUCUGGACCAUCUGAAUCUCAUCAGAGCGUCCAGGGUGUGGUCUCCAGAGCGCGGCUGUGGCAGCUGGUCUGAAGCUUUCGACUAGUUUGUGUGCGUUUGAGCUGAAAGAAGACUGCUGUACGCAAGGAGCGUGGUGAGGAUGGUCGGCCCGCGGGUUUGGGAAAAAAAGGCCCCAGAGAAAGGCCACGUGUGUGCACGCUGCGCUGGAAGCCCAGCCUCAGGAGCUGAGAUGGGCAGCCCGCGGCAGUUCACGUCGCCAUGGCAAUGAGGGCCCUGGGUGAGGAGAGCUCCCUGGCCUGGGCUCUAAACCUCGGGUUCUGCUUCCAUGCCCCAGGCAGCGCUCACCACCUCACAGGGAGAAAAGCUCAGAUCAUCGGCACCCCAGUCUCUCGGGAACGUGUCAGAUUCUGAGUUGAUGUUAGUUCUGAGAUGCUGACCGGUCACUGACAACACGGAGUUUCUGGGCCUGCCAGGCUGAGAACUGGAUCCUGUCACACAGCAGCCCCACCAAGUUACUGCCACCCUGAGGCCCAGACUAGCUGGCAACUGACCUGGAGGGCACUGGUCUCCCAGUCACCUUCUUUAUCUGUAAUGAUACCUCCCUCAGGAUGUGUAAAGCAUUAAAUAUCUGUGUGUGGCAUACACUUGGUGCUCAACCAUGCUGAUUUUUUCCCCCAUCUUCUGUAAACCCUGUCACCUGCCUAGGCCAAGAGAUGCGAUUACCUUAAGGCCUGGAACUCUGCCUCCUGUUGCUCUGGUUUCUCUCCUUCGCUUCCCAGUAAGUCCCUAGGACUUGACUUGCCCUCGGUAGUUGUCUUAUCCAUGCUGUGGGUUCUCACCACCCUGACCUCUGCCCACACAUCAGUCAUGCCCUCCAGGUGUCCCCUGAGCCACACAGGGCAGCCACCCAGGGGAGCACAGCAGACUGGCAAAGCAUAGCACCCAAAUUCUGGAGCUGCCACCUACUCACCGUGGGACCUGGCUCCAGCCAUUCCCAUUUCUGAGGCUCUACUUCCUCCUGUGUGAAAUAACAGCUUUGGGCUAGUCCUCACAAGCUGUACUUGCGUGAAUGAGUCAUUCCAUCCAUCCAUCCAUCCACCCAUCCACCCAUCCACCCAUCGCACAAACUCUCAGCAACUUCUCAGUGCUGCCUUAGCUACAGCGUUAAGAAGACAGAGUUGAAUGGACAUGCCCCAGGCUUCAAGCCCUUCACACCACGGUGAAGGAGACAGACCUCCACAAAAUAGGAUGUACCCUCACCAGGGACAAGCGGUGUGACAAGAUGGCGGCAGGGGGCUCCCUCUAAGCGGCGCCUGGGUCCCUUGGCGUUGUGGUGGGCGCCCAGGAGCCAGUCCCGCUGCCGGCGGCGAUGCCUCCCCUCUCGGAGCAUUACUCAGCGCCCUGAAAUGUCUGCCUCUCUGCAGCACGGCCCCCUCGUCCUCCUGGAGCGCGGCACAAAGGUCCUGUUGUGGGCCUGCAGCCCAGGCAGCAGCCGGGCCUCGGGGUGACUCACGAUCUUGCCAUUUCCUUUGUGUGGCUCCCAGGAUCCUAGCUGGAAGCCGAGUGUGCGUCUGCCGGGCUGCGCUCCAGCGUCGCCCCUCCGGGAGGAGACAGCUCCAGUCCCGCCUUUCGUGUGGCGGGGGCGGCGGGGCUCCCUGCACGCGAGGCCACCCACGCCUGGAGCCUCGCCAGGACAGCGGUUGGCGCAGGGACCAAGAUGUUGCAGCCUGGCCUCGGCGAGGAUCAAAGCACCCGCUCUGGGGGUGGCAUGUGCUCCCCAUCAGGCGUUGCUCUGCUCCCCGCCCCCUAAACGAACCCAUCUUUAGGAAAAGUGAAAAUUAACCACGGAAGGAAAGGGCCCAUAUGGCUUGGGGAGAGACGUGGGCUGCCGGCCUCCCGCUGGUCUUUGGUUCCAGCUCAGAUGCCUUGUCAGCAGCAGCAGCCCCAGGGGUGCUUAAUGAAUAGUGAAGGAGCCAGUGAGCACUGGACUAGGAGCCUGGAGAUGGGUUCUUCCGCAGGUUAACUGCAUCACCUUCAGCAAGUUUUACCCGUAGAAUUUCAGGCAUCUUUCCAAGCAGGUCCCAAGUCACAGCUCCUAAGAUCCUUCCUGGUCUGGCUCCUGCCUCCUGCUCUGGCUUUAUCUCUGCUCACGUACCCCUUACACUUUACACUCCAGCCAGGCUGAGCAACUUGUCCUCAAGGGUCUCUGAGUCAGCUGGGGUGUCACCUCCUGCAGGAAGCUUCUCCCUGGCAUCUGGCAUUGGCGCUCCUCCUCUGCACAAUUUGGAGAACUUCUGCAAAGCCCUGUCAGAGCAGCCCCACCCCAGACUCUGCGAUUCCUGCUUGCUUACAUGAGGAGGGCGCUGAAUGAGCUCCUCAUGUGAAACUACAGGUGCUAUGGUGAGGCCAUUGCCCAGGACUGAGGAGGGAUCCACACAGCAAGAGAGGGUGCAGCUGGCAUCAAUCUUCGGGGUCAAAGCCAACUCACGAUUUGUAAUCAGACCCUUGAAACCAAAACCUACAUGGAUGUAAUGACGUUACAUCUUGGGCCAAGUCAGCAGACUGUCCUGAGAACAAUGCAGUAAGCAUCAAGGAUAAUCCCCACACUCCUGCAGUUCCUUAGGACUUGCAAACCUUUCACCAUCAAUAGUCUCAUUGGAUUUGAGGAGGUGGGGUGAAGAUAAUUUCUGCCCCUGUUUUAGAGAUGAGCCUACUAAGCUUGAGGGAAAUUGAGUCUUGCCUAAUAUCCCAUAAAGAGUAAGUGGGAAGAAAGAAUCCAGGUCUUCCUUCAACCAAUCCUCAAAGGCUGGUGAGUGUCAAGCACCACAAAGAUGAGGGAGAUGUGGUUCUUGCCACCAGGGAGCAGCCAGGAUUGUCAGUGAGACCCAAUAGAGCCCAAGAAGUGUUACUUUCAUGAGAGGAACAGGGGCCUACUGGAGUCCAGAGGACAGAGAGGUUUGUUCUGACUGUGAAGUCAGGGAAGGCUUCCUAGAAGAGGAGACUUUUAAAUGGGGCUUUGAAUGGUGGGUAAGAGUCUCCCCAAGGAUGUAAAGCACCAUCCUCUGGGCCUGACCAAAUCUCUGCGGCAUUGAACUGAUCCUCGUGUUCUGUAGGCAGCUCUCCCAGAGGGAGGAGGAAUUUGAGAAUCAUCAUCAGUUGAAUAGGAAACCGAGAUGGGUGAAAGGAGGUUAGCUGAGGGUUCUUUUAAGACAAGGGAUACUACAGCAUGUCUUAGGCUGAAGGCAAUGAUCCAGAAGGAAGGCAAGUAUAGUGCCCAAGCAUCAACCAGAGACAUCAGCCUGAACCUGCUUUGACAUUCAGUUUCCUCCUCUGGUGCCUUCUACAUGACUUAGUGGACUUGCACCUGGAUCCUUGGAUCCAUGUCCUCCAUCUUUAUUCUCUACCUUUUUCCCUAGUUCCUUAUCCUGUCCACUCCAGCAUCACCUCUACACAUUACUGGCAGAGCAGAGCAGAAAAAUCCAUCUAGUUAGGCUUGUCCACUCCAUUGAUUUAUCUCUUUGAAAGGAAAUGCAAAUUUAAGUAGAAGAUUCUAAGGGAGAUUGAGCCAACCUGCAUCU